GUAGGGAAUAUUGGGCAAUGGAAGGAAUUCUGACCCAGCCAUGCCGCGUGCAGGAAUACAGUCCUAUGGACUUUAAACUGCUUUUAUUAUAGAGUAACCUGGGGGACGUGUCCCCCACUGCAAGUAUAUAAUGAAUAAGCAUCGGCUAACUCCGUGCCAGCAGCCGCGGUAAUACGGGGGAUGCAAGCGUUAUCCGGAUUUAUUGGGUUUAAAGGGUGCGCAGGCUGAUCGGUAAGUCAUGGGUGAAAAGUCACUGCUUAACAGUGAUCGUGCCUAUGAUACUGCCGGACUAGAGUUUAAGAGGUGUAACUGGAAUGUGAUGUGUAGCGGUGAAAUGCUUAGAUAUGUCACAGAACGCCAAUCGUGAAGACAGGUUACAAACUUAAUACUGACGCUCAUGCACGAAAGCGUGGGGAUCAAACAGGAUUAGAUACCCUUGUAGUCC
rnacentral:rRNA from 1 species